GACCACGUAGCUCAGUUGGCAGAGUAUCUCAGUUGGACUAGUAUCCCAAAGGUCGCGGGUUCGACUCCCACCGUGGCCA